CAUGCAAGUCGAGCGGUAGCACAGGGGAGCUUGCUCCCUGGGUGACGAGCGGCGGACGGGUGAGUAAUGUCUGGGAAACUGCCUGAUGGAGGGGGAUAACUACUGGAAACGGUAGCUAAUACCGCAUAACGUCGCAAGACCAAAGAGGGGGACCUUCGGGCCUCUUGCCAUCAGAUGUGCCCAGAUGGGAUUAGCUAGUAGGUGGGGUAAUGGCUCACCUAGGCGACGAUCCCUAGCUGGUCUGAGAGGAUGACCAGCCACACUGGAACUGAGACACGGUCCAGACUCCUACGGGAGGCAGCAGUGGGGAAUAUUGCACAAUGGGCGCAAGCCUGAUGCAGCCAUGCCGCGUGUGUGAAGAAGGCCUUCGGGUUGUAAAGCACUUUCAGCGAGGAGGAAGGUGGUGANCUUAAUACGCUCAUCAAUUGACGUUACUCGCAGAAGAAGCACCGGCUAACUCCGUGCCAGCAGCCGCGGUAAUACGGAGGGUGCAAGCCCUAAUCGUGAAUUACUGGGCGUAAAGCGCACGCAGGCGGUUUGUUAAGUCAGAUGUGAAAUCCCCGGGCUCAACCUGGGAACUGCAUUUGAAACUGGCAAGCUAGAGUCUCGUAGAGGGGGGUAGAAUUCCAGGUGUAGCGGUGAAAUGCGUAGAGAUCUGGAGGAAUACCGGUGGCGAAGGCGGCCCCCUGGACGAAGACUGACGCUCAGGUGCGAAAGCGUGGGGAGCAAACAGGAUUAGAUACCCUGGUAGUCCACGCUGUAAACGAUGUCGAUUUGGAGGUUGUGCCCUUGAGGCGUGGCUUCCGGAGCUAACGCGUUAAAUCGACCGCCUGGGGAGUACGGCCGCAAGGUUAAAACUCAAAUGAAUUGACGGGGGCCCGCACAAGCGGUGGAGCAUGUGGUUUAAUUCGAUGCAACGCGAAGAACCUUACCUACUCUUGACAUCCAGAGAACUUUCCAGAGAUGGAUUGGUGCCUUCGGGAACUCUGAGACAGGUGCUGCAUGGCUGUCGUCAGCUCGUGUUGUGAAAUGUUGGGUUAAGUCCCGCAACGAGCGCAACCCUUAUCCUUUGUUGCCAGCGGUUCGGCCGGGAACUCAAAGGAGACUGCCAGUGAUAAACUGGAGGAAGGUGGGGAUGACGUCAAGUCAUCAUGGCCCUUACGAGUAGGGCUACACACGUGCUACAAUGGCGUAUACAAAGAGAAGCGACCUCGCGAGAGCAAGCGGAACCUCAUAAAGUACGUCGUAGUCCGGAUUGGAGUCUGCAACUCGACUCCAUGAAGUCGGAAUCGCUAGUAAUCGUAGAUCAGAAUGCUACGGUGAAUACGUUCCCGGGCCUUGUACACACCGCCCGUCACACCAUGGGAGUGGGUUGCAAAAGAAGUAGGUAGCUUAACCUUCGGGAGGGCGCUUACCACUUUGUGAUUCAUGACUGGGGUGAAGUCGUAACAA
rnacentral:rRNA from 1 species